UGCAAAUAUUUUCUCCCAGUGUGAGGCUUGUCUUUUCAUUUUCUUAACAGUGUCUCAGGAGAGCAGAGCUUUAAAUUUUACUGAAGUCCAACUUAUUGAUUAUUUAUCAUGGACUGUGCUUUUGUUAUUGAAUCUAAAAAAUCAUUGCUAAACCCGAGGUCACCUAGAUGUUCUCCUAUGUCGUCUUCUAGGAGUUUUAUAGUUUUGCAUUUUUCAUUUAGGUCUGUGAUCCAUUUUGAGUUAAUCUUUGUGAAGGGUGUGAGAUGUGUGCUAGGAUUUUUUAUUCAUGUGAAUGUUGUGUUGUCCCAACACCAUUUAUUGGAAAAACGAUUCCUUUUCCAUUGUGUUAUCUUUGCUCCAUGUCAAAGAUCAGUGGACUAUAUCUUUGGGUAUCAGUGGGUCUACUUCUGGGCUCUCUACCCUAUUCCAUUGAUUUAUUUGUCUUUCCUUUCACCAGUUCCACACUGUCUUGGUUACUUAGUUUUAUAGUAAAUCUUGAAAUCAAGUGGUGUCAUUUCUCUGAUUUUGUUCUUCUCUUUCAGUAUUAUGUUGGCUAUUCUGUUUAGAAUAUUUAGAAUUAUUGAGAAUGCACAUACACUUCUUGAAAUUCACUAUUCUGACAUAUGGAAAAUGGGAUCUGAUUUACCCGCCCGUCCAUGAGCUGAGUGAGGCCCUGGGCACUGAGGGGUUUGCCCAACAUCAAGCACAGGUACAAAUUCAGGUCUCCUGAUACCUGUGUGCUCCUCACCACUCUGUGUCUAGUUAUAGGAUCAAGUAUGUGUAUUAACUGGCUUCAGACUAAGUUGUCCAGUACAUUCCUUGGCCGCGCACAGCACAGUACUCAGUGUUCAUCCGGGACCCAGGUCCAGCACAGCAGCCUGCUUACAAAACCGCCAACAGGGCAGAGCUACUGGAAACUGUCAGCUUGCGGUGGUCAGAGGACAGGGAGUGAGGGGGUGGGCAGCCCUACCUGCCAGAAAUGAGGGUGGCCAAGGUGUCAGGGUGUGGCUGCCUGAACCUACCUUCAAAAACUGAACUUGCUCACAGGAACUCUCACUGGAAAACUAAGGGACCAGGUAAGUCAUCUGUACUGAAACACAGCCAUCCCUUGAUCUUAAAUCCCUGGCUAUUUCACAAGUACGUCUCUAAAGCAAAGUGGAAAAUUUUUCUCUUGUAUCUUAUAUGACAUGUGACAUACUUCCCAAAUCAAGUCUAAAAACAAAUAUGUUUUCUAUGUAUUUUUCUUAUCAGAAAAAUAAUAUAGGUUUAAAAAAGAACCCAAAAUUACAAUAAACCAUUAGAGAAAAGCAAAACUACGUAAUAGUCCUAACACACAGAGAUAACCCCCAUGACCAGUUUAGCAGUUUCCUUCUAGCAUUUAAUCUAGGCAUGUAUCCAGUGUCUGAGGGUUGUCCCUUUUAAUUGAUUUUAAUUAAUUGCUUUUCACUGAGCACACCGUAUUUGAAUGUAUGUAUAUCUUGAUUUUUUGGUUACAUUUCAUCACAGGUGUUUCCCGUGAUACUGCAUAUGCUUCGUGAACAUGACUGUCCGUUGUUGUGUUACAUCCUAUAAUAUAGCUCUGUAAUAAUUUAAUAGUUCUGCUACUGUUAGAAAAUUUGCUGUUAUAAUUAUAUUCACAAAGCAUAGCCUUGUACACAUGUCUUUGUCCACAUCUCUGGUUUCAAAAUUAUCCAUCUUCAGUAAGGACAUGGAUGCUUUUUGUCUUAGGGGGCAGCCCUCUUCAAAGACAUUGUGUCACCUUUGUCAAAAAUGUGUGUUUUUAUCUCUUUAGUGUCAUACCUUUCCGGCUGUCUUCACAUCUGAAAACAAUGUGAGAUGCUUAUCUUGUCUCUUUCCCAUCAAUUUGUUUGUUUCCAUCCUGCUGGUAGUUCUUAGCCAGACAUAAAUAUCUUUUUUUCUCCCAGUUAAGAUAGCAAUGUGGGCAGUGGCCUGUGAAAGGAGGUCCUCAAAUGUAAAUUAAACCAAAGAACUGGGGAAAAAAAAUAACACAAAAAUAUCCAGACUUGUCAUUAAUAAGGACCUGCCAGUCAGGAUUUGCAUAAGGAUUCUGCCUGAGGAUUACUGAGGUGACCGGAACACUUUCUCUUCCAAUCCAAGUAAGCUGAAUUUCUUUAUUUUGAAAUUUACAAAUCUAAAUGCAAGAAAAUGGAUUUCUGUCUAAAUAUAUAUAGCUAAAUUUUUUUUUUGCCAAUUUGGUGACAUUUUAAUGCCCAGUUUAUCAAAUCUGCUGUGUAGUUCAGAGGUACUGAGUCACUGAAAUUACCUAAGAUACACCGACUCUGUUUUUAUAGCAAUGUUUAAACAAACUCUCUCUCUCUCUCUCUCUAAGAGAGAGAGAGAGAGAGAGAGAGAGAGACUGACUGUCCUUUGGUAUAAGCUGAGAGUUACCAAAGAGCUACAGCCACUUCACUGUGCUUCCCCACAGACCCAGUUACUUCCAUAUUAUUUACUCAUAAAAUGUAGCCCUUAUGUUAAGAAAACUAUAGGCUAAAAUUCUUCAUGGAUAAAUGCAAAAAUGCUUCAAAAUAUUAACACAUAGAAUCCAGCAAUAUACAUAAGAAAUAACAUAAUGACAAAGUUGGGUUCAUUCCAGGAAUACAGGUGAGUUUAACAUUUGAAAUGCAAUCAAUGUCGUCCAUCACAUUAACAGAAUAAAGGAGAAAACCAGUAGGAUCACCGGGAAAGGUAAAGGAAAAGCAAUUAGCAAAUGCAACAUCCAUUAAGGAUAAAAAUUCCCAGAAAACUGGGAAUAGAAAGGAACUUCAUCGAUUUAAUGAAAGACAUCAGUGAAAAACCUACAGCUAAUGUCAAAUUAGCUGAACUCCCAACGCAACAACAAGGCAAGGAUGUCUGCCCCCAGCACCUCUGUUCAGCAUUGUACCAGAGGUCCUAAGGAGCGCACGGACACAAGAAGAAGAAAGAAAAGAGAAACAUUGGAAAAGCAGGCGUGGAACACUCUCUACGUGCAGACAGAUUGUUUAUGGUUCAUGUAGAAAUGAUGGUUUAUGUAGAAAGUCCCAAAACAUCAAAAUGAACAAACUACUAGAAAUAAAACUUAAGGUUAACAAGGUCUCAGGACACAAGAUCAAUGCAUAAAAAUCAAUUGUGUUUCUAUAUACUAGCAGCAAAUAAUUGGGAAAAUGUUCAAUCCAUCUUCAACAGUGUCAAAAAUAAACAAAAUACUCAGAAAUGGAUUUAAUAAGACAUGCAGAAUAUCUAUGUCAAAAACUAUGAAACAUGACUGAGAGAAAUUAAAGAAGGCCCAAACAAAUGGAGAGAUGUAUCAUGUUCACGGAGCAGCAACUCAGUAGGACUGGGAUGUCACUCCUCACCUAUUGAUUUCUAGAGCCAACGCACACUCAGUGGUAAUACCAGCAGGCUGUUCCUUUUUUUAAAAUAGAAAAUGAGAAG